GGUUGCACUUCACCCGAACUAUUUAUGGAUAAUUUUAUGAGAGUUAUACGCAUAUGUUUGUUAAUAUAUUAUAAGUUAUAAUAUAUUAAUAUGAAGUCAUGUUAUUUAAUUAGUCUUAGUCUUAAAUUAAUUAUGAAUUAAUUUAGAGAUUAAAAGGAAGACUAAUUAGAUUGUGGGCUAUUGGUUUUAUAUAGUGUGGGCUAACACUCAUUUGUUAAUGGGCUAGGCUUAUAUGGAAGUCCAUGGAUGAUCCAUGGAGCUUUUAACCCAUGGAUCCUUGGAAAAGGAAAGGUCAUGGGUUAUUAGGGUUUCACCCUAACCAUGCACACUAUAUAAGCAUGCUUAUGGAGCAUGAAAUGGCAACUAGUGAACUAGUGUGUGUGUGCUUGUGUGUGGCCAAAAAUACAAGUGUGUAUACUCUCUCAAAGUUUUCCAAGAGUUUGUGGUGUUUUGUGAUUCCAUUUGAGGCAUUCACACUAUUGGUGCUUGGCCCUCAAACUCCUUAAGAACCAAACUCAUCAAAAAGGUAUGUAAUCUCUUCUAACUCUUUUAUGUUGAAAUGUUCCCCAUGCCAUGUUAGAUAGGUUAUGAACCUUGGAAAAUUAUUAUUUUGCAUGUAUUUAGACAAACAUAGAUCCAAGGUUUAUUAGGGUUGCAUGCACACUUAGGAAGUGUUAGAUUGCUCAAAACCCAACAGUGGUAUCAGAGCCUAGGCUUGCUUGUUUGAUACUUGAUGCAAAAUAGUGAAAAAAGUUGAAAUUGUUGCUGUCUGGCUGAUGGACUCGCCGAGUCCAUGGGGGGACUCGCCGAGUUCAAGGCAAAAUUCAUCCUACUCGGCGAGUAGGUUCGUGCACUCGGCGAGUAGAAUGAUCAGAAUGCAGAAUUUCGACUUUUGCUGCUGGAAAUGGACUAGAAACAUUACCCUAAACUGUUUUGGUGUUUUAAAACUUGUUUUAGUUGGUGUAAUGGUUGUUCUAAUCCAUUUACAAUAGCAUAUAUCAAAAUUCCAUGAUUUUUAUGUGUUCAUAUAAUUCUUGAAAUUUUGAUGAUCAUGUUCAUGUUCUUAUGAAUUUAGAAGAUGAUAGGAAUUAUUUGCUGAAUUGUUUAGAAUUAAUUCUUGAUCAUUUAUGUGUUUUAAUGGAGUCCAUAAUUUGUCCUCAAGUUAUGGAUAUCCAAAGGUCACUUUUCUUUAACACACACAUUUAAACACAUAAGUUACAUGAAAAUGAAGAGUCUUCAUUUUUAUGAACCUUUAAUUCAUAAGUUAUGAAAUGAAAAGUUUUGGAUAGUUACAAAACUUGCCCUCAAGUUUUGGAAUUUGAAAAGUUUCACACACUUUAAUAAACUUUAAUUCCAACACUUAGAGUUUUAAAAGUUAAAAUUCAACACUUAUACUAUUUAUAACAUUAAUGGUUAAUUAUUAUAUAUAUGUAUAAGAACAAGUCGUUUUACCGUUAGUAGGCCUCAUUCACGAAGCCGGUCUAUAAGGUGGGUAUAAGGUUGUUGCCUAUAAAAUGGCGACUUAAUGGGUGUCCACUCUCACCCACCGCUUGCUUGAUCGGUGGAGGGUCGUUAGCCGAACGGGUAGGACAAUGACUUUAAAUUCUCAUUAAAAGUAUAAUGAUUAUUAUAAAGUAACUAAAAAUUUUUUAUUUAAUUCCCAAUCUUAGUUACUUUAGGAAAAAUGUGAAUUUGGUGCUAGCCCAUGGAAUUCACACUUUGUACCUUACCAAGUCGUUGGUGGAGCGUGUGUGGUUAACCGGCACACUAACUUGGACUAGUAAGGAUCACGAAGGGUGACUUAAUGUUUGUCAUAGAUCAAUGGAGCGUGUGUGGUUAACCGGCACAUUGAUUAGGUGAUAAUAUUAAGGGUACCAAGUGAAUUGGUAUGGUUAUUCACACCUUGUUUUGUGAUCCUCGGCAUCCCAGUCACAAAAUUUGAGAGGGCACACUCGAGAUUGAAACAUGCCAUUGAAAAGUUCAAUGAAUCUCAAAAGAUCUAGGAAUUUCAAAUCCAAUUAAAACCUAAUAAAUUAUUUCGUUUUUCAUGGUGGAAAUUGGUGAAUCGUCAUUCGCCUACCUUCAAAUAUUUUAUAGCUUGGAUUACGGCAUCCCUCUUCCAAAUUAUAAAAUAUUGUGUUGGGUCCUAGCCUUAAUAUUUCAUAUUGGGUGUUAUAUUAAGGACUUUGAAUCAACUAACUUGAUUUUCUCCCAUUAUAGAUGUCUGGUUCAGACAACUAUGAUCUUCCCAAAUCUCUUGAAGAUGGUGUCCCUCAACAUCAUGCUUCACUUCCUCCACCUCCUCCAAUUAUUCUCCCUCACCCACAAGUUCUUGAAAAGUUUAAAGUCACUCAAUCCCUAUUGGCAAGCAUAGUCUAUGUGUGCUCACAUCUUGGAGAUAAAGUCACAUAUUGACAAGCCGGGAGAGUUGGGUGUCAAAGUCUCGUGAAAGUUGGAUGUUCAAUCACUUUCUUAGUAACAUAGUGAGUCUCUUUGGGACUACUAUGAGACAGACUAUGACAUGACCCUUAAUGAUGUUAUCUAUUUGCUUGGUGUUGUGGAAUCAGCAAUGAUUUGGAACACCAGUAAAGCAAAUUUGAUUAAAAGAACAACUUCCCAAGUCUUAAAUGGACAUUGACAAUGGUAGCAUUGGAUAUCUAGAAAAGGAUUUCUCUUCCCAAUGGAAAGGGAUCGGCCAUAGUCAACUCGGUUGACCAAAUGGUAAAGAGAAAGGCUAAGUCUGAGAUAGUCUCAUGUGCCAUUACCAAAGGGUCCAUGUGUUUUGUUGCCAAAGGAAGGGGCAUUGGUUGCGAAGCUGCCCUAUUCACCUGAAAGGUCAUAAGGUUGAUCAAGUCAAGAGGUUUGACUCUACUUCGGGUAAAGUCCACUGUCUAACUCUAUUAAGUUCCUAUUUGGAGAUUCUUAUUACAUAAUGUGAAUGGGUCACAUGCUGAUGUUUUUAAGAAUCAAAGAAAAGAUAGGAAGCUUAAAGUAAGUAUAUGUUGAUUCUGAUUGCGAAGGUGGGUUUCGAUCGCAUGGUUCGGUAAUCAGAAUUUUGAGCUGUUGCUUAAGAGUUAUAAUAUAUUGCUUAUGAAUAGAUAACAACAAGGUUUUCAUGUGGAUUGUAAGGAUAAGUUUUUCCGCAAAGUUUUAAAAAAAAAAAAAAAAAGGGUUUUAAUUUUAUUUAUUUUAAAAAUAUCCUUACAAUGGCAUCUGUGGAAAAUUGUUGCUUAUAUGUUUCCAGUAAUAGCAAUAUUGGAAAGUGGAUUUGAUUCUUUCAUUUGUGGUAGUGUCUGAAUUUACCAAAUGAAGAAAGUUUUUCAUCACCCAAGUUUCAAUUGGACAGAAACUUGGAAUCAUACAAGUUGUAUUGUAUGAUGAAUGAGAAUUUUCAUCUUUGAAAAUUAAGACUAAUUCUUUGAUCACAUGUAUAUGUGAGUCAAUUGAAGGACUAAGGAAUUAGGUACACUGGGUGUGCGCUGGUCAAGGUCCACCACAAAGAUUGAUUUGUCAUGAUUUACUAAAGAUUAGUAAAUAUGAUUAUACUUAUGAGGUUAAGUAUAAUUCUGUAACAUUGGAAAGGUUACAAUGUAUGACAAAACAAAUGAGAAGAAUCAAAUUAGGCAGAAAGAUAAAAGUUUCUCAAAUCUGAAAGGAUGGGAGAGUACUUUAGUAUCGUAUUUCAUGAUCAUCUUAAUGAUUAUGAAACCAUAUCACAAAUUCAUACUCUAAGGACGUCUUAGUGCAUUGUUAUGGCUAAGAAGAGAGGUCAUGAAUUGUUGGAUUGGUUAAAAUCAAGAAGAUGAGUCAUACUUCGUUCCAAAACAAUUCUUAGAGUCAUACUCCAAGAUUGUAACUUUGAGUGACAUAAAGGAAGAUUUAUUAACACUAGUCAAAUGUAAGAGUAAAAUGUUUUCUACUCUUGUACAUUUGAGAUUGGUAAGUUGUGAUGUCUUGGAUGAGACAAAGACCAACUAAGACCAAUUGUGUGAAGUGUUAGUCUUGAUAAGAAUCCGCACUAUCCCUUGAAUAUUUGUUUUGUCAAGGAAUGGUUCUUGACUGGGGAAACUUAUAUGUCAAGGGGACAGUGGGAGCCUUAAAGAUCCUGAAAGAGUUUCAAGAUUUAAUCAAGAGUAAAACCUGUAAUUUAUCACUAGCACACGACUUAAGGUUUGCAACCUAUCGUGUUGACAUAAUUCUUAUUUCUGUACCUACUUCAAAUAAGUUGAAUUUGCAUGUGAGUUAUCAGAGUUCAACUUGGAAGCAUUGGUGGGCCUUGUGCUACCAAGGUGACAAGAAACUAAGAUUGAACAAGUUUAAUCCAUGUAAGGCUGAAUUUGUCACUAACCUUAUCUUGUGAUUAUGGUUUUGACAAAUUCACAUGGAUAGGAACUCAUACACUAUAAAAUCUAAGUGUCAUAAGGUUUCUCUCCGAUUCAUGAAAAUGAUGGUGAGGAAACGCUUUCACUAAGUAGAUUUUACGUAGAUAUCAAUUGUGUUAUUUGCAUUUUCAAAAGUCGUUAGUGGAGCGCGUGUGGUUAACCGGCACACUAACAUGGACUUGUGAGAAAUGGCAAAUGCCUAAGCAAUUGAGACUAUGAUUACGGCAUCCCUUUUCAUAGUUCUGAAAAUUGUUUAGACACACAUGUGAGCUAUCUAAGAAAGGGUGUAUGAAUCUAAAUUUCAGAAGUCCAGCAGAUUUCUGGAAAUAUGUCAGAGCUAGUGGGAGCAUAAGUGUUAUGCUGAUAAUCAUCAUGUUAGUGGGAGCAUGAUUAUUACGUUUAGUGUUGCAAGUUAGCAAUGUUAAUUAUAGAAAACAAAGUUUCAAUUCGUGAAGUUGCAGGGGUUGAAAAGUUGUUUUGCUAUAAUUAAGGGAGAGGAAAUUAUACUUCAUUUCAAUUCUAAAGCUUAGAUUGAGAUUUUAAUCAUCUUUAGUCAAGAAUAUAUAUAUGAAUUUUAUGUUGGAAUGGUUCAACUUGAAGAAAUUCUAUAUAUAUUGCGUUUUCAAAAUUCGAUUAUGAUUACGGCAUCCCUCUUCAUAGUUAAAUUUUGAAAACAUGGCAAAUAAAAAAUAUUGUAGCAAAAGACUGGUCUAGUAUCAUGUCUUUAUGUCAAACAUCAUGAAUCGUGUCCCAUAUGCUUCGGAUAUAGGAUCGAUUGCAUGUGCUAUAAUAUUCAUCUUUUCUAAAUUUUCCAAAUGCUUAAGGCAUUGAGAAGGGAAAAGUCUAGAACUGGAUAUGACUAAAGUGAUUAAGCAAUUGUCGAGGACAAUCUGAGGUUCGCCAAAGAUUGGUUGCUCAGGGAAAGUUGGAAGUAUGAUGUAAGUUGUCGGAAAGGACCAUAUUGACAUAUUCUGAAAAGAAGUAACUCUUGUUCGGAAGUGAUAGUCAAAAUGGGACUAUGGAAAUGUCUCCAUAGGUGGAAGUUAUUCAAUCUAUGUAAGAUUAGAAAACCUUAAUGCAAGAAGGAUGUUCAAAGCAAUGUACUUUGAAUAUGAGACUUCCGUUCCAUAGAAGUUGACCUUCUUUGGAAUACUCUGUAAUGACUGGUGACAAGGUUUUGGUGACUUUGUGCAUAAUCAUUACAAGAGGAACAUUGCAUAAAAGUUUAAAAUCUAACAGUUUUUUUGGUAAAUGAUAGGAAUCGGGGAUUCUCACAUUUACAAUAAGGAUUUGGGAUUGUGAAAUGAGUAUCAUUGGAAUCAUGUUCAAUUGAUCUACAUCACAAUGUAAGGAUCAUAGACAAACAUAGUGUGCAUACUUGGAGUAUGGCAUAACUAUUGUUUAGAAAAACAAAGUGUACAUGCUAGGAGCAUGGGACGACUGUUGUUUUUAUUCAAGUCUUAAGUUGAUUGUUUGAAACAUUAUACAAUGAAUAAUGUGUAAUCAAUAUGGUGAUAAAUAAAAGGUGGUUCUAUUUAUAUUCAAAAGGGUUCUGAGACCAUAUUGGAUUCGAUUAUUAUUGUGUUUCACUUUGCAUGUUUUGACUUCCAAAAUAGCUAGGUUAUUCUUUCCGAAUGACUAAGUUAUUUAAACACUCCACAGUCGUUCAUAUGUUGGAAGUAGGUAUGAAUCAAGACUGUCAUGAAUCGAGUUUGUAGAUGGCUAAAUGGGUUUAGUCAUAGCAAUGGUUGCUACAACAUUCAUGAGUGCUCAUAAGUUAUGAGUAUUGGAAUAAACCCACGCUCACUUGUAUCACUUCAUGGAAUUUAUCUCGAGUGAUCGUGAGACGGUAAUAUCAUAUAAAUCUUCAAACCUAGAGAUAUGAGUUGUUACCUAUGAGUUGGUUGUGCAUUGAUUGCACGUAAACGCAUCAGUAACUUGAUGUUAUAAAACGUGCCUUUGUGUACAAUUCAACAAGUAGUAGAACAAGCAUAUGAGUCGAAGUUUAUCUGUUCCUUCUAGAAAUAGAAGCGAUAUCUGGGCCCCUCGAUGAUUUUGUUGUGACCUAUGUACCGGCCGGUCAGAACUAAAUUGAUGUGUUCGAUUAAGUUCUUUGUCAAACAAAUCGAAAAUCGGGAAACAAACUGCUGGACAAUAAGUACGACGUUGUUCCAUGUAUUUGUCCGGCUGAUAUCAUGAGAACAGAGGAUUAUAUGAUCACUUAUCUAAAAUGGCGCUUCAUAGUUCAACAGAGUUUUCGAGAGCUACGAUUGCUGGUUGGUUCCUGAAGUAACAUACGCAAAUAUAGUUAUUAGACUUAUCCAAGUGGGAGUCUGUUGGAUAAGGUGUCUAAGUCCAUAACUUAUUUGGUAUAUACUUGACCCGACCCGGCAUGGUCCAUUUGGGUUGCAUUUCAUCCAAACUAUUUAUGGAUAAUUUUAUGAGAGUUAUACACAUAUGUUUAUUAAUAUAUUAUAAGUUAUAAUAUAUUAAUAUGAAGUCAUGUUAUUUAAUUAGUCUUAGUCUUAAAUUAAUUAUGAAUUAAUUUAGAGAUUAAAAGGAAGACUAAUUAGAUUGUGGGCUAUUGGUUUUAUAUAGUGUGGGCUAACACUCAUUUGUUAAUGGGCUAGGCUUAUAUGGAAGUCCAUGGAUGAUCCAUGGAGCUUUUAACCCAUGGAUCCUUGGAAAAGGAAAGGUCAUGGGUUAUUAGGGUUUCACCCUAAUCAUGUAUACUAUAUAAGCAUGCUUAUGUUGCAUGAAAUAGCCACUAGUGUGGUUUUGUGUGUGUGGCCGAUUUUUAUGUGUUUAUACACUCUCUCAAAGUUUUCCAAGAGUUUGUGGUGAUUUGUGAUUCCAUUU
rnacentral:lncRNA from 1 species